UGCAGUCGAACGAUGAUCUCCCGCUUGCGGGGGUGAUUAGUGGCGAACGGGUGAGUAAUACGUGAGUAACCUGCCCUUGACUCUGGGAUAAGCCUGGGAAACCGGGUCUAAUACUGGAUACUACUCCUUAUCGCAUGGUGGGGGGUGGAAAGGGUUUUACUGGUUUUGGAUGGGCUCACGGCCUAUCAGCUUGUUGGUGGGGUAAUGGCUCACCAAGGCGACGACGGGUAGCCGGCCUGAGAGGGUGACCGGCCACACUGGGACUGAGACACGGCCCAGACUCCUACGGGAGGCAGCAGUGGGGAAUAUUGCACAAUGGGCGGAAGCCUGAUGCAGCGACGCCGCGUGAGGGAUGACGGCCUUCGGGUUGUAAACCUCUUUCAGCAGGGAAGAAGCCACAAGUGACGGUACCUGCAGAAGAAGCGCCGGCUAACUACGUGCCAGCAGCCGCGGUAAUACGUAGGGCGCAAGCGUUGUCCGGAAUUAUUGGGCGUAAAGAGCUCGUAGGCGGUUUGUCGCGUCUGCUGUGAAAGCCCGGGGCUCAACCCCGGGUCUGCAGUGGGUACGGGCAGACUAGAGUGCAGUAGGGGAGACUGGAAUUCCUGGUGUAGCGGUGAAAUGCGCAGAUAUCAGGAGGAACACCGAUGGCGAAGGCAGGUCUCUGGGCUGUUACUGACGCUGAGGAGCGAAAGCAUGGGGAGCGAACAGGAUUAGAUACCCUGGUAGUCCAUGCCGUAAACGUUGGGCACUAGGUGUGGGGGACAUUCCACGUUCUCCGCGCCGUAGCUAACGCAUUAAGUGCCCCGCCUGGGGGAGUACGGCCGCAAGGCUAAAACUCAAAGGAAUUGACGGGGGCCCGCACAAGCGGCGGAGCAUGCGGAUUAAUUCGAUGCAACGCGAAGAACCUUACCAAGGCUUGACAUU
rnacentral:rRNA from 1 species